rnacentral:rRNA from 1 species
AUGGCUCAGGAUGAACGCUAGCGGCAGGCUUAACACAUGCAAGUCGAGGGGCAUCGGGAGUAGCAAUGCUUGCCGGCGACCGGCGCAAGGGUGCGUAACGCGUGAGCAACAUGCCCGUAUCAGGGGGGAUAAUCCAUGGAAACGUGGUCUAAUACCCCAUAGUAAUUAUGUAAGGCAUCUUAUAUAAUUUAAAGCUUUGGUGGAUACGGAUUGGCUCGCGUGACAUUAGCUAGAUGGUAAGGUAACGGCUUACCAUGGCUACGAUGUCUAGGGGUUCUGAGAGGAAGGUCCCCCCACACUGGAACUGAGACACGGUCCAGACUCCUACGGGAGGCAGCAGUGAGGAAUAUUGGACAAUGGAUGGAAAUCUGAUCCAGCCAUGCCGCGUGCAAGGAAGACGGCCCUAUGGGUUGUAAACUGCUUUUGUAUGGGAGCAAUAAGGGCUACGCGUAGUCCGAUGAGAGUACCAUACGAAUAAGCACCGGCUAACUCCGUGCCAGCCGCUGC